GACGAACGCUGGCGGCGUGCUUAACACAUGCAAGUCGAACGGAAAGGCCCUGCUUUCGUGGGGUGCUCGAGGGGCGAACGGGUGAGUAACACGUGAGUAACCUGCGCUUGACUGUGGGAUAACUUCAGGCAACUGGGGCUAAUACCGGAUAGGAGCUCCUGCUGCAUGGUGGGGGUUGGAAAGUAUCGGCGGAUUGGGAUUGACUUGCGGCUUAUCAGCUGGUUGGUGGGGUAGUGGCUAAGCAAGGCUUUGGCGGGUAGCCGGCCUGGGAGGGUGACCGGCGACAUUGGGCCUGCGAGACGGCCCAGACUCCUACGGUGGGCAGCGGUGGGGAAUAUUGCACAGUGAGCGGACGCCUGUUGCAGCGACGCUGCGUGCGGAAUGACGGCCUUCGGGUUGGAAACCGCUUUCGCCUGUGACGAAGCGUGAGUGACGGUAAUGGGUGAAGAAGCACCGGCUAACUUCGUG
rnacentral:rRNA from 1 species